rnacentral:rRNA from 1 species
AAGGCCUACAAAGGCGGCGAUCAGUGGCGGGUCUGAGAGGAUGAUCCGCCACACAGGGACUGAGACACGGCCCAGACUCCUACGGGAGGCAGCAGUGGGGAAUUCAGGACAAUGGGCGCAAGCCGGAUCCAGCCAUGCCGCGUGUCUGAAGAAGGCCUUCGGAUUGUAAAGGACUUUUGUCGGGGAAGAAAAGGCUGUUACUAAUACAAGCCGCCGAUGAAGGUACGUGAAGAAUAAGCGCCGGCUAACUA